rnacentral:rRNA from 1 species
UUGCCAGCAGCCGCGGUAAUACGGAGGGUGCAAGCGUUAAUCGGAAUUACUGGGCGUACAGGGCGCGUAGGCGGUUUGGUAAGCGAGUUGUGAAAGCCCCGGGCUCAACCUGGGAAUGGCAAUUCGAACUGCCAGGCUAGAAUGCAGCAGAGGGCAGUGGAAUUCCAGGUGUAGCGGUGAAAUGCGUAGAUAUCUGGAGGAACGCCAGUGGCGAAGGCGACUGACUGGGCUGACAUUGACGAUGAGGUGCGCAAGCGUGGGUAGCAAACAGGAUUAGAAAC